GAGAUGUCUCCUUCCUCGCAGAGGCGUUACCCGGAGCGGGGCUGAGCCCACACACGAGGCACGGAGGCAGCGGGGCUGGCGGCGGGCUCCCGCAGCGGGAACGCCGGAAGCGACCUUUGGCUGCGGGGGAGGCCCGGAUGUGCUUCUCCAUGUUUCAGAGCUCUGGCUUUUCCUGUCGAACUUGACCUCUGAAAGCUGACCGACGUGAGGGCUCCCCCAGCCCCCAGGAAGCAGUGAGAGCAGUGGGCGAGGUUUGUGUUGCCCUGUGGUCUCUGCUUGUGAGCCUCAGGAAGCCCCGGGACUCCACACGGGGCCCAGCGGCCUUGCGGAAAUGGAUGCCCAGGCCGCCAUGCUUCACGUCAGGGGCAGCUGCAGAUAGCUCAGCAGCAUCCAUGCUUCACGACAGAGACAGCUGUGGUUCACGUCAGGGACAGCCGCGGUUUACGUCAGUGGUAUAUGGUUUACGUUAGGGGCAGCUGCAGAUAGCUCAGCAGCAUCCAUGCUUCACGACAGAGACAGCUGUGGUUCACCUCAGGGACAGCCGCGGUUUACGUCGGUGGUAUCCAUGGUUUACGUCAGGGGCAUCCAUGCUUCACGACAGAGACACCAGCUGUGGUUUACGCCAAGGGCAGGCGGGGUUUAUGUCAGGGACAGCUGUGGUUUCCGUCGGUGGCAUCCGUGGUUUACGGCAGGGGAAGCCGCGGUGUAUGUCAGGGGCAGCUGUGGUUUCCGUCGGUGGCAUCCGUGGUUUACGGCAGGGGAAGCCGCGGUACGCGCCCGUGGCCUGGGGAUGUACCGCAGCGGAGGCGGUGUGAGGGGCUCGGUAGGCUGGGGCCCGGGUGUGUCUGGGGAAGCGGAGCCCUGGGUGGGGGCUUCACUCGAGACGGGAGGGAGGCCAGGCGACUUGUGGCUCCCGGGAAGGCGGCCUGACGUGGGGCCUGGCCUCGCCUGCCCGCCCUGUCCGGCAGCGCCGCGCCCCUCACCGGGGUCCCCCCGUGCCCGCAGUCUCCACGUCCACGUCUGCCCGGGUUUCCCGCUCGUUCUUAGGGUCUUCCGCCUGGCCACAGUCAGUUCUGGGGGUCGUCUGAAGGGGAACGUACGUUCCAUUAUCUGCGGUACCGGCUGUGUGGGUCACGCGUGUUCUCCCCAAAAAGAAAAGUGGGGCGUGCAGAGACAGGUAUCCGCCGCGCGGCAGUGCGCAGUGCAGUCCUGUCCUGGACAUCGCGCUGUGCUGUGGGCGUGCGCAGUUAUUUUGUGCGUUAUCUGA
rnacentral:lncRNA from 1 species